rnacentral:sRNA from 1 species
GCAGAUCGCUUGCCGCUUGCUAGCUGUGUGGGCUGAGAGGUCUGGUAGGGCUGAGCUUGCGAGAGGAUCAACAUGCCUGUGAGUUGUUUACAUCGGGCUCCGGGUUUGUUUUGGGCUUCUUUACCGAGGGUCAUAUGGGACGGAUGAGUCCGGGUGCCUCUCGGGCCUGUAGUGUCCGAGAGUGGCGAGGCGGCUCCGGUUGCGCAGCGUCUUCGCGCGUGGCGGGCAUGUAGUGACUUGCCCGGUCAGCGCGGCGCGGCUGGCCCUGCGGGGGCGUGGGCUGCAAUUCAGAGGCGGUGGCUGGGAGGGGAACAGUUCUCUGUGUAGCUUAUGAGCGGUCUUGGUUUUUGAGGGUGCCCCUGAGGUUGUGAUCUUUCGGUCUUUUUGCUUUCCCAGUGCUUGGUGUUUCUCGCCCCCUCUGCCUUCUUUCGGAAGCGAUUUCCUACUUGUUUUCCUUUUAAAAACUGUCCUCGUUGUUGCCUUAUAUAUUAAUUCCGUCACGGACGGUCGCUCAGCAAGAAUUCCUGUCAGCUCAGCUGUUGAGCCACAGGAGCAAAAAUCACCCAGGCGCUGACGUUCUCUGGUCUACUUCAGCAGUUUCUACUCUAAGCGAGUCCACAGUCGGGGUCACUUUCUUUGCUUAGCACCUCGACUUCGCGCAGUUUUCAUUGAAGACAGUUCAUUACGCAGUUGAGUAAAGAAGGACAGAGUUUGCCUUACCAUAUGUUUCCUGAUCGUCCGAAAGCCCUCUUCUAGGGACUUGGAGAACACAAGUAUUAUGAAAAGUACUGAUGAAAGUUAUUAACAGGUUUCGAAAAAUAACUUUACUAUCUGACGUGUAGCUUCUGCCGAGGAUGACCGUUAUUCCUGUUUUUGCAUGUAUAUUUCAUGUAUGGUUAAAUGUGCCAGCAUUGUGGCUUAAAACUAAUAGUAAUAAUAUGCUUCUUUGUUCAGUUGGCUAGAGAUUUACUACAUCCGUCCUUGGAAGAGGAAAAGAAAAAACAUAAAAAGAAACGCCUAGUACAAAGUCCAAAUUCUUACUUUAUGGAUGUAAAAUGUCCAGGUUGCUACAAGAUCACCACGGUUUUCAGCCAUGCUCAGACAGUGGUUCUUUGUGUAGGUUGUUCAACAGUGUUGUGCCAGCCUACAGGAGGAAAGGCCAGACUCACAGAAGGUAUAUCAUUUGGCAUUCUCCAACCCGGUGAUGAGAUUGAUGAUUAUAAAUGUCUCUAUCUUCACUGAAAAGUUUAAAGAAAUCUUAAUGAUUACCAAAAUAACGUAUCUUUCAUUGUGUGCUUUCAGUAAAGAAUGCGCUGUUCAAAUGGAUAUAUUUAUACUCUUGGCCUUGCAGUGAACUCCACUGACUUAUUUUUCUUAGUUUAGAACACAUUUAUUCACUUAAUUUGCUUAACGUGGAAUAAAUUAAAUCAGAAUAGAAGCAAAAGAAUACAUGUUAUAGGACAUACAGAUUUAUUUAUUUAUUUAUUUUAUUAUUAUUUUUUUAAUUAGGAGUCUCGCUGUGUCGCCCAGGCUGGAGUGCAGUGGCGCCAUCUCGGCUCACUGCAACUUCUGCCUCCCCGGUUCAAGUGAUUCUCCUGCCUCAGCCUCCCGAGUAGCUGGGACCACAGGCGCAUGCCACCAUGCCCGGCUAAUUUUUUUGUAUUUUUAGUAGAGAUGGGGUUUCACUGUGUUAGCCAGGAUGGUCUUGAUCUCCUGACCUCAUGGUCCGCCCGCCUCGGCCUCCCAAAGUGCUGGGAUUACAGGCAUGAGCCACCUCGCCGGCCAGGACAUAUAGAUUUUUAAAACCAUAUAGAAUUUUAAAAUUUCUCUUACAAAAUUUUGUUCCAUAUGUAUUUAGUACAUAUAAUAGUUUUUUUUAUCAUUGCCAGCUAAGCAACAGAUAGCUAAUAUGUAAGUUAAAAUGCCAGAGGUUUUAUUUUUAUGAGCAACUGCAGUGAUUAAUAUAAAAAUCUAAUUUUAAUUCCUCUUUCACUUUAGUGCAAUAAGAAAAAAAAAUUAUAUAUAUAGUUUCCAUAGUAAUACUUGUAAAUUUACAAUUCCAUAAUGAUGUUAUAAAUUUGCUUGUGAUAUUUUGGGGAGCUGUAAGUUCCAUGCUCUCACUGGAAGAGUUCAAGUGGAUUGGCAGCAAAUCCGAGAUCUAUUUGGUGUGAUCUGGUGAGAUCUAAAUAUGGAGUCAGCACAUGAUAUUUUAAGACUAAUAUUGCUAAGUAUACUUGUGAGAUUUUUGAAACAAAGUAUGUCAUGUCAUGAUUUUGGAAUUUAGUGCCCAUAUGCUGACAGAUGGUUUAAUGGGUCUAUCUGUUCUAGAGUUUUCCUAAUAGGUCUGAAAAUACCUCUAAUCAAAAUUAUUUACUUGAGAAAAGUAUUCAGAAUAGUUCCUAAAAAUUAAGAGUAUAUCUUCUGACAGCUUGCUUGAAACAGUCUUCACUGUUGAAUUCAGGCUCAUGGUCUUAAGUAGACUUCAUUAUAGCAUUUGAGAAACAGGAGUGACACUUAUAGUCAUACCAGAGUAAACUCAGAUAUGAUAGAUGUAUUAUAGCAAAUUUCUGUUAUAAAAGGAUAAAUAAUCUGUAUAUGAGUAUUAAUCCAAUAUUCUUAAAACUUCAGUAUUUUACUUAAAAGUACUUUUUGUCAUUAAAAUUAUAGCAAAGGUAGAAUGCACUUGUUUAAUAUACUCUCAUGAUUCUUUUGCAGGGUGUUCAUUUAGAAGAAAGCAACACUAAUGAUUCAAACAGCUUCCUGAAUUUUGUGUUGUCUCACAGAAAGCCUUAUCAUAAAUUCCAUAAUUCUAAUUAAUUUACCAAGAUAAUGUAAUUACAUUUGGUUUUGUAAGGUAUACAACAGUAAUCUCCUAUUUUGGUGUCAGUUUUUCAAUAAAGUUUUGAUUAUGGGCAAA